CGCACGCACACACACACCGCUAAACAUGGAACAGUAGAAGCCGCUCUGCAUGAGCCCUCCUCACAUGCUGGGGGCUUUCCCAAGUUAACCGCCGCAGUAAAGUCCAAGAAUGAGAGUUCCUGGGGAAUAAUCAACCACAUCUGCAUACCGAGAGCAUGACCUGAAGAUUUGAUUUUUCACUGAGAGAGAAGAGGAGGAGGAGGAAGAGGAAAAAAAGAGAGC